CAUCCUGGACGGAAUAAAUAAAACAUUACAUUAUCAUUUUUAUUGCGUAAAUUUUUACAACAUGUUUAAUUUAAUGGACGAAUACGUAAACAUGGCAUUAUUAAUUCUAUCAUUGCAUUAAACAAAAUGUGCUUUUAUAUGAUUUAUCGUUUUGUUUAUUCGUAAAUAAUAAAUUUGUGUAAAAUAACAUAGGUAUCUAUUGGCAACAUAUUUAAUUCAAGCAAUUUCUCAAUAAGAAGAUGUACCAAGAAGAAAGAAAAUGUAGCGUCGCUCGGUGACCGGUGGUCGUUGUAAUACGGCCAGAAACCUCCGAGGCAUAAAAGGUAUGACGACCCCGAGUGAUGUGAAGUGAUGAUGAGAAGAAGCACAGCUUGCCUCAACACUACUAACUGCCUGCAUUCUUAUAAAUAUGUAUGUAUUCUUACUAUUAAUUCAUUUGUCAUUAAUGUUAUUGUUAAAUUUAAAAUUAAUUGACAUAUUUUAUUCACAAGCUGCGCCCCGUGACUUGGCUCCCGAGAGAGCAGAAAAUAAAUUACAUUUUUACUUUAAAGUAGAUCAAAAUCACACAACAAACACACGUUGCAACUUUAAUUCCUCCCUUCCUCUCCCCCCACCCUGCUUCCUUCUGUCGACAUCGGGGUUUAAAAAUAGAUAUUCCGUUUAUGUCACGUAAUUUUAGAAAAAUAAACUUGAUUUUAGAAAACUUGCCAUGUUUACGAUGAAAAUGUAAAAUUCUGUGUAACCACAACUAAUCGCAUUCCCUCGUGCUACCCUCAUAAAACACACUUAGUGCCUCGAGGAGUAUUCUGAACAAAUUCUCAAGUCUCG